rnacentral:lncRNA from 1 species
CCGGUCGGGGAAGCGCGUCCCCUCCCGGACGGUCGCGGCGUGGGGGCCCGGGCGCAGUGCAGGGGCUGCGCCCCCCCGCGUCCUCAGCUGGUGGGGGGCGAGGCCCGCGCUUCCCCGGCAACUCCNNNNNNNNNNNNNNNNNNNNNNNNNNNNNNNNNNNNNNNNNNNNNNNNNNUUCCACCGGUGGUGGUGGGUGCUGCCUCCAGGAAGGUGCGCUUCGCCCUCCUGCCCGACUCUUACGAGCCGCUGCGCCCGCCGCGGGCCGCCGGGAAGCGGCUCUACGGGAAACGGCUGAAGAAGUACGGCAAGAACGUCGGCAAAGCUCUGCAGAAGGGAUGCCGCUACUUGGUGGUCGGCCUGCAAGGAUUAGCAACGGCCUAUUCCGCUCCCUUUGGAGUGGCAGCUCAGGUGGCAUCCUUCGUCCGCUAGUGCAGCUCCCUGUGCCCCACCGGGGAGUACGCAAGGCCAGUGCUGCUUUUUUAGGAUUAAAUCUGAGACUCACAUCUGAGAGAGCUCUUGGACAACCAGUCCCAGCCCCGAGCCCCUCUGCAAGCCCCUUCCCCAGUACUGAGUGCUCUUCUCUGCAAGAAUUUCUAGCGCUUUGUAAAAUCAGAUCGGGUCAAAGAAAUGCAAGGAUGAGGAAAUAAUCUUCAACUAAUUGAGCUGAAAUUUGUUCUCGGACAUGAGUUGGUUUUCCAGAGCUCUGUGCUAUGUGUGGAAGGGAGCCAAGGACAGAUGGAAAAGCAAGUAGGUGAGGGAGAGAGAAAUGAAGGAAAACAGAGGAUGAGAGGGCAGCUGGGGAGGUGGAAAUCUAAGUCUGGCUACUGAGAGGAAUUGUCAAAGCAGUGGAGGAAACAGAUAACGAAGGAUCAGGAAAAGGUAGUCUUUGGUUUUCUGAUGUCCUUUUUUUUUUUCCCCCUGAGAGGGUUAAAAUUAUGAGUAUACUUAAAAAUAUACUUGGAUACAAAUGGAUUGUGGUCUGAGACAUGGAGAGCUUUACUGUAUCACAGUUGUUCAUUUCAAACACUGGAAAUAAUGAGCCUUUAAAUCUUAAGACUGAUGAAAAAAUCCAGAAAGACAAUGAAGUAUGUUUGUCUGCUGAUUUGGGGGCAUUAAAGGUUCACCGUGAUUAAUAUUUUAAACUUUUCCUCUGCUGCUGUAAAACCUGCAUAUAUUUUUUUUUUACUGAAAAUGGAGUUUAUAUCUGACAUACCUGAACCUGGAAGCUGGAGCAUAAGAACACCCAGUUCUGUAGUGUUCACCAAGCAAAAAAAAUUGAUUACCAGCUGCAUCUGAAAAAAACCUACAUACAGCAUUUGUUACAAGAAUGUACAACUGCUUUGUAUUAGAAUGGGGCCAGAUCACCUGCCGGAUCCAUCUUCACUUCUGUAUGUGGAAGCUGUAUCUAGAGGAUGUCAAUGUCAGACAACACAGGGGCAAGGGGGUUAUGGGCCUUCAAAAUUCUGUGGGUUUUGAUUUUGUUUUCUAUCAGUCUUUUAUGAUAGCAGUAAAUUAUUUCCCUGCUAGCACUUUCACCGUAUUCUACAUCUUUAUAGUUUUAAUAGGUUUUGUAAUCAAGGAGUUGAAUUAUCUGGGAAAAAAAUUAUGUUCAUUUGCUUUCUUUUGCCUUUUUUGAAUGAAGUGGUUUGCAUGUCUUAGCAAACCACACAGUGUUUCUUUUAAAUGUAACAAAUGAAACAAAGGUGCAUUUUUUUAAUGCUCUUUUCUAAGUGGACUAUAAAUAAAAGUCAUGUGAUUCAUG